CAGAGAGGACACAGAUAGCUCCCAGUCAGUCGCACCUUCAGUCGCUCCUGCAGACGGCCUUCAACGUUUUCAGAUGUUUGAUUUGAGCCGAGAAAAACAAAAGGAAUCGAAGAGGAACUAAAGGAGCCAAUCAGACGCCAUCGGCAGGAAUAUUCCAUGUGUUCUAUCCUUCAUUCCACCGGAGUCUGUAUCUGCAGUUAACCAGAUUUCAGUGGUGUGAAGUGUAAGAGACAUGGGGAUAUGACUUCACCAGCAAAAGAGUCACAACACCAGACGGCAGCCGAGUCACAAGGUCCAGGAAAUAACUCAGUUUGCUGUUUUUCCAUUGGUUGUAUUUUCAAAGACAGAAACGAUAUCUUCUCUUAUGAAAUCCUGCUCUUCACGGUGCUGUGUACCUUUCCUGUGAUACAUAGAAAAUAUAAAAUAUGCCAUGUGUGUAUUCUCAUCAAUAAGAUAAUGUACUGAGCAACUCAGUAAUGUGAAUAAACUCCCUGACCUCCC